GAGCCCCGCUCCCAGCCAGCAGCAGUCUUGGGUUCCUGAUGCUGCCAUGGGCUCCAGGCUCCUCUGCUGUGUGACUCUCUGCCUCCUCGGAUCAGGCCUGGUGGAUUCUGGAGUCACCCAGACCCCCAAGUACCUGAUCAAAUCAAGAAAGCAGAACGCGACUCUGAGAUGUUCCCCUGAAUCUGGACACCGCUCCGUGUACUGGUACCAACAGGCCCUGGGCCAGGGCCCCCGGUUCCUCGUUCAGUAUUACAACCAGAGGGUGUGGGGAGAAGCACAGCUCCCGGAUCGAUUCUCAGGAGAACAGUUCAGUGACUCUCGCUCUGAGCUGAGCUUGACCCCCUUGGAGCUGACGGACUCAGCCGUGUAUCUCUGUGCCAGCAGCCAAGACACAGCCCUGCAUGAUCAGAUGCCUCUGGUACAAAAACACUCCUACCCCAGCUCAGGAAGUGGUUGCCAGGGUGUCAGCUGCCAGCCAGCCAGAGCCAGACCCAGGUAGAGCUGAUAGCCUUUCCCAGACAUUCUUUCCUUUGUACAUUUUAAUGCUCACAUAGAUCAUGCAAGAUAAAGAUUAUUUUAACUGUUUAUACAUCUGAUGGGAAGUGACUUGCCCAGAUCUCAUAUUUCCUAACUGUCAGACAAGGAAUCAGACUCAAAGCUGUCCUCAACACCUGUGUUCUCUGCUCCCCAUCUUUUAAAGGAGUUCGCUCCACGUAGCUGUUACAGCUGACAAGUCCAAAUCUGCAGGUUGGACUGGUGAUGCUAGAGGUUCAGGGAGAGCUGAUGUUUAAAUUCAAAGGCCCAAGAACUGAUGGUCCAGUUUGAAGGCCAUCAGCUGAACAGUUCUCUCUUACCUGGGGGAGGAUCAGUCUUUUCGUUCUAUUCAUAUCUUCACUGGUUGGAUUAGGCCCACUAAGACUGUGGAAUGGAAGGUCAUCUGUUUAAAAUGUUAAUCUAACCUAAAGUUAAAAUCUACCUAUUUAUAUGUUAACCUCUUCCAAAACCAGUCUCACUUAAUACCCAGAAUAAAGUUUAAUUAAAUGUCU